rnacentral:rRNA from 1 species
UUAAGUGACUAAGCGUAUACGGUGGAUGCCUUGGCAGUUAGAGGCGAUGAAGGACGUGUAAGUCUGCGAAAAGCUGUGGUGAGCCGACAAAAUGCAUUUGAGCCACAGAUGUCCGAAUGGGGAAACCCACCUAUUUAUAGGUAUCGUUACAUGAAUAUAUAGUGUAACGAGGCGAACGAGGGGAACUGAAACAUCUAAGUACCCUUAGGAAAAGAAAUCAACCGAGAUUCCCCUAGUAGCGGCGAGCGAACGGGGAUUAGCCCUUAAGCAAUUAUGAACGUAGUGGAAGCCUCUGGGAAGUGGCGCGAUACAAGGUGAUAGCCCUGUACACGAAGUGUUUGUUUUUGUGAAAUCGAGUAGGUCGGGACACGUGUUAUCUUGACUGAAUAUGGGGGGACCAUCCUCCAAGGCUAAAUACUCCUAACUGACCGAUAGUGAACCAGUACCGUGAGGGAAAGGCGAAAAGAACCCCUGUGAGGGGAGUGAAAUAGAACCUGAAACCGUAUACGUACAAGCAGUGGGAGCAGACUUGUUCUGUGACUGCGUACCUUUUGUAUAAUGGGUCAGCGACUUAUAUUUAGUAGCAAGGUUAAGCGAAUAGCGGAGCCGUAGCGAAAGCGAGUGUUAACUGCGCGUUUAGUUGCUAGGUAUAGACCCGAAACCCGGUGAUCUAGCCAUGGGCAGGUUGAAGGUUGAGUAACAUCAACUGGAGGACCGAACCCACUAACGUUGAAAAGUUAGGGGAUGACUUGUGGCUGGGGGUGAAAGGCCAAUCAAACCGGGAGAUAGCUGGUUCUCCCCGAAAUCUAUUUAGGUAGAGCCUCGGACGAAUUCCAUUGGGGGUAGAGCACUGUUAAGGCUAGGGGGUCAUCCCGACUUACCAACCCUUUGCAAACUCCGAAUACCAAUGAGAACUAUCCGGGAGACACACGGCGGGUGCUAACGUCCGUCGUGAAGAGGGAAACAACCCAGACCGCCAGCUAAGGUCCCAAAAUAUUGCUAAGUGGGAAACGAUGUGGGAAGGCAUAGACAGCUAGGAGGUUGGCUUAGAAGCAGCCACCCUUUAAAGAAAGCGUAAUAGCUCACUAGUCGAGUCGGCCUGCGCGGAAGAUGUAACGGGGCUAAGCAAUAUACCGAAGCUGCGGAUACGUGUUUACACGUAUGGUAGGGGAGCGUUGUGUAAGUGGAUGAAGGUGGAUUGAGAAGUCUGCUGGACAUAUCACAAGUGCGAAUGCUGACAUGAGUAACGAUAAUGGGAGUGAAAAACUCCCACGCCGGAAGACCAAGGUUUCCUGUCCCAUGCUAAUCAGGGCAGGGUAAGUCGGCCCCUAAGGCGAGGCAGAAAUGCGUAGUCGAUGGGAAACGGAUUAAUAUUUCCGUACUUAUAUAAUCAGUGAUGGAGGGACGGAGAAGGCUAAGCAAGCUUGGCGUUGGUUGUCCAAGUGAAAGCAAGUAGGCCGAGUGUUUAGGUAAAUCCGGACGCUUAAAGCUGAGAUGCGAGACGAGCUACUACGGUAGUGAAGUUGUUGAUGCCCUGCUUCCAGGAAAAGCUUCUAAACUUAUGAUUAUAUAAACCGUACCCCAAACCGACACAGGUGGUCAGGUAGAGAAUACUAAGGCGCUUGAGAGAACUCGGGUGAAGGAACUCGGCAAAAUUGUACCGUAACUUCGGGAGAAGGUACGCCCUUGUUUGUGAUAGGACUUGCUCCUUGAGCAGAUGAGGGCCGCAGUGACCAGGUGGCUGGGACUGUUUAUUAAAAACACAGCACUCUGCUAACUCGCAAGAGGACGUAUAGGGUGUGACACCUGCCCGGUGCCGGAAGGUUAAUUGAUGGGGUUAUCUUCGGAGAAGCUCUUGAUCGAAGCCCCGGUAAACGGCGGCCGUAACUAUAACGGUCCUAAGGUAGCGAAAUUCCUUGUCGGGUAAGUUCCGACCUGCACGAAUGGUGUAACCAUGGCCACGCUGUCUCCACCCGAGACUCAGUGAAAUUGAAAUCGCAGUGAAGAUGCUGUGUACCCGCACCUAGACGGAAAGACCCCGUGAACCUUUACUACAGCUUGGCACUGAACAUUGAACCUACAUGUGUAGGAUAGGUGGGAGGCUUCGAAGCACAGUCGCUAGAUUGUGUGGAGCCGUCCUUGAAAUACCACCCUUGUAUGUUUGAUGUUCUAACAUUGGUCCCUUAUCGGGAUUAUGGACAGUGUCUGGUGGGUAGUUUGACUGGGGCGGUCUCCUCCCAAAUAGUAACGGAGGAGCACGAAGGUUAGCUAAUCACGGUCGGACAUCGUGAGGUUAGUGCAAUGGCAUAAGCUAGCUUAACUGCGAGACAGACACGUCGAGCAGGUACGAAAGUAGGUCAUAGUGAUCCGGUGGUUCUGUAUGGAAGGGCCAUCGCUCAACGGAUAAAAGGUACUCCGGGGAUAACAGGCUGAUACCGCCCAAGAGUUCAUAUCGACGGCGGUGUUUGGCACCUCGAUGUCGGCUCAUCACAUCCUGGGGCUGAAGUCGGUCCCAAGGGUAUGGCUGUUCGCCAUUUAAAGUGGUACGCGAGCUGGGUUUAGAACGUCGUGAGACAGUUCGGUCCCUAUCUGGUGUGGGCGUUGGAUGAUUGAUGGGAGCUGCUCCUAGUACGAGAGGACCGGAGUGGACGAACCGCUGGUGUUCGGGUUGUCAUGCCAAUGGCAUUGCCCGGUAGCUACGUUCGGAACGGAUAACCGCUGAAAGCAUCUAAGCGGGAAGCCGGCCCAAAGAUGAGUCAUCCCUGACUUUUAAAGUCCGGAAGGGUUGUUAUAGACGAUGACGUUGAUAGGCAGGAUGUGGAAGCGUUGUAAGGCGUUAAGCUAACCUGUACUAAUUGCCCGAGAGGCUUAACCAU